rnacentral:rRNA from 1 species
CACGUAGGAGGCGAGCGUUGUCCGGAAUCAUUGGGCGUAAAGAGCGCGCAGGCGGCCCGGCAAGUCGGGUGUGAAAGUCCCGGGGCUCAACUGCGGGUCUGCAGUCGAUACGGGCAGGCUAGAGUUCGGUAGGGGGGACUGGAAUUCCUGGUGUAGCGGUGAAAUGCGCAGAUAUCAGGAGGAACACCGGUGGCGAAGGCGGGUCUCUGGGCCGAUACUGACGCUGAGGAGCGAAAGCGUGGGGAGCGAACAGG